UUACCAUCAGAAAGUUCUUCCUAACGUUUAGUCCGAAUCUCCUCUCCUGCCCUCCUCUCUGGAGCAGCAGAAAACAAGCUUGCUCCCUCUUGCAGCCCACAGAUAUUGAAAGAUGGCUCUCCUCUCUCCUCUCAGUCUCCUCUUCUCCAGGCUAAACAUACCCAGCUGCCUCAACUGUUCCUCAUCAGGCUUGGUUUUCAGCUCCUCCACACUCUUUCCCUGCCUUCCCCUUUUCUCUCCCCUCUCAUCAUUUACAUUUACUAGGACAUUCAUAGACCACUUUCCUCCCAGGAGCUCAAGGUGGCCUUCAUGGUUCUCCCUGCCACCAAUUGUUAUCUUCACAGCAGCCCUGCAAAGUAGGCUAGGCUGGCCCAAGGUCCACCAGGGAGCUUCAUGGCUGAGUGGGGAUUCGAACCCUGCUCUCCCAGGUCCUCCUAGUCCAGCCCUCCAACUGCUACACCUCUGCCUGGCUCCAUUUUGCCUCUCUCCAACGGCCCUACGACAUCGGACUUCUCCCCCUUCCUGGGGGUCUCUCUGGCUCCAUGGAAGAUUCCAACACCUUCCUCAUGUCCUGCUCCUCUUCUGGGACACCUUGAUGCUUGGAGGACCCUCCUAUGGGUCUCCUCCCUCUCCAGGAAGGGCAGGGCUGUCCUAAGAUGAGGCAGAGCAGCCCUUUUAACAGUUGGCAAUGCUUGUCUUUCCAUUGGGCUGGAGCUCUUGAACCCAUAGCACUUGGGGCCUCCUUUGUCUCUCUGCCAGCCCUUCAUGCUCUGGGCUGCCUCUUUCCCGCUCUGGCGAUGCCCUUUCAGGUCACUAAACUGCAGAGAGAUGGAAAGAAUUGGGCCAGACGCCCCUCCUCACACACAAACGCCCCCCAAGAAUUGGGGCUGCCACCUUCUGAGUUGCUCUCUCUGCUCCUCUCUUCUAAGUUAAGGUGUUCAAGAUGCCUGAUCAGCCGCAGCAACAGCCCUGCAAGGUCCAGAGCAGCCCAUGGUGUCAGGUGUGCUGGGGUUCCACAUCCCUUCUGUAGCGGUGAGUAUUGGAUAAAACAAGAGCAGGGAGUGGAUCCCUCAGACUUGCCCCCCCCCCCCGCUCAGUGCUGGAUUUAUGUAUAGGCUAAGUAGUCUGAAGCCUAGGGCCUCUAAAUCUAGGGGGCCUCACCAGGCCUUCUUUGUCCUGGCCGGGCCUUCAGCAUCCAAACCAGGCCUUCUUUGUCCUGGCCAGGCCUUCUUCAUCCUGACCAGGCCUUCUUCGUCCUGACCAGGCCUUCUUCGUCCUGACCAGGCCUUCUUCGUCCUGACCAGGCCUUCUACAUCCUGGCCAGGCCUUCUUUGUCCUGACCAGGCUUUCGGUGUCCAGACCAGGCCUUCUUUGUCUUGGCCGGACCAUCGGCGUCCUGGCCAGGCCUGCGUCCUUCUCUUAUCAACUGCCAGUCCUAAGGGUGGGGGAGUUGGCACUGGGCUAUGCUCAUCUUGUCUGGCAGUUAACUCUCUUGCUUCCUGGCUACUUCCUUCACUGGGAGCUGCCUGCAAACCUUCCCUGGCGGCUGGCUCACUCAUGACACGGGGCAAGUUGAUGAACUUGGGUAACUUCACAACUCCCCUCCUUCCUGGUGACAUGAUGUAUCAGUGAUGUCUCAAUGAUGGUUUUGGACAUGUAUUCUGGUAGGGAGGGAAGGUUUUCAAAGAGCUUGUAACCCAUGUUCGGGGUUCUUACUCUGUGUGGGGACCUGUUGCACAACAAUAAAGAUUGUGGUCUAUUGACCCCUGUUUUGCUCCUGUAUUUGGCUGGAACUUCCUUCUUCUGCUAACCGCAGAGACCCGCAGGGACUUGCACCCCGACGAGCUGGGCUGUUGAGUGUCCUCGCCCCCCAGAAUUUUCCAUCUCAGAAUCCAGAGCCCGUAGGCCCAGAGUCAACAACCUUCCCCAGCUCAAGGGUCAGGUCAGUAGUGGUACGUGCUGCACUUUAAUCAGUGGGAGAGUACGAGUGGGGGGCCAGCUGAGGCAGAUAGACCAGGCAAGCAAGCUCUAUCUUUCACACUUCACAGAGCCCUGUUGGUACCUGCAGCAUGCACUGCAGAUUGCCCACAGGCAGAGAGGCCUUGGGGAUCAGGGAAGCCAGCAGUGGGAAGGGAUCCUCAGAGGGAUCCAGAACUACCUGUAGAAGGCAGGAGGCUAGGCUGCAGCUGUUGGAGGAGGAUCAGCUAUACCUCCUGGAGGUCAUCCAGAACUGCCAGGCAGCUUGGCUCAGGGGGCUCCGAACCCUGAAGUGCUCCAAGCAGGAGACGGCCAAAGCCAUUAUGACCCCAUUUCAGCUGCGAUAUGGUCAGUGCUAUCCUACAUAGGACAAUGGAGGCUGUUCUUGGGGGCGCAGAAAAGGAGGAGGACAAAGAGGAAUGGAAGAGGCACUUCCUGAACCUACUGGGGGGUCUCCUUCUGGAGGCCCCCAAUGCUGGCACCCUCCUCCAGCUGCUCACUGACCUCCGAUUUUACGCCCUUUGGGGAAGUGAGGUGGAAAGGAAACACUGUUUCACGAAGAUUCCCCCACCUCAGAGUAAGUAUCUUGCCUUCCUGUAUUCAUUUCUUUGGUUGCUUCCAUCCCCCCAAGAGCACAUCUCCCAGCGACUUUUAAUGCAGAAGAUGUGGUGUGUGUCCCUGGGAGCCAGAAUGAGGCCAGAGGGUAUUUCUGCCCCCUUUCCUGGUGCUGCCCUUCCACCUCUGCCUAGGAGGCUGCGGGGUCCAAGGAGGUCCUCUGGGGCAAGGGAUUGGGCCCAAGCCAUAGUGAGACCCAUCCUUCCUGGCAUGGGGCUGCUUCUGUGCUGUUUUGCACCCAUCCAGGGUGGGGACCCAGAUUUUUCUUUCCUCUGCAAAACACAGUAAUUCACCCAGAGCUGGCUUGUUUCUGGCAAAAUCUGAAAGAAGAUAAGCCCCACACCUUGGGGACAGCGAAUUCCCUUGUCCCUUGUUUGCCCAAGACACACCUCCCAGGUCUUCCUGCUGGGAGUCCUGCAGGACCUGCUCCCUGCCUGGCAAGCCUUUCCUAUCUUGUCAUAGCCUGUGUCAGCUCAUUGAAAGUGCAUGCCUCUAUGUCCCUGGGUGCCACCAGACCUUCCAGUAGAGUGAUGGCGGAACUUCCCAGCACCGUCAGUAGCACAUCCACCUUGUCUGCCUCCCUAGUGAAGCCUUGUAGUCGGACAUAGCUCCUUAUUCGGCGGAGCCACUGCGGCCAUUCUGCAGGAUGGCUCAUAUCCAAGUCCGGUGGCGGCCGACUAUGACUGGCGGCCAUCCUUGGACCUGGAGCAGUUGCUUGUGUGAUUGUGGGUGGUUGCGAAGAUGCAGCAGGCGCGGUCUCGUUUCUGGGACUAUUUGCUAAGUCCAGCGUGGCGGUGAGGUCGCGCUUACUGCGAGGCAGCAGGCGGCGGGAGUUCAUCAACCCCAACCUUGUCACCAGUGUUCGGGAAAAGUCAGAAGCCCAAGGCAGUAUAAGUUCCUCGACUAUGUUUAUUCAACAUUUGUCAGUGACAACAGCUCACUCAUAGGAAAACAAGAACUGAACUGACUGGACAACAGAAUAAUAAUGCCGAGCAUGAACUGACAGUUGACAGUUGAAAGUCCAUGCGCUUACUUGCCAUUAGAACGUUCGUCUACCAGCGCUUAUAUGAUUGGUUAGAAUGCACCUUGUGUUAAACCCAAUACAUAACAUCUACCAUCCAAAUGAUGACAUCAUCAAAGAGUUAUGAUUUUCCUCCCUGAAGGAAUUGCUGGCUCUAUUUGGACAUCCCAAUUGGCCAAAGUUUGGCAGAAGAAGAGGCGCCGAGAAUCAGGAGGGGGGUAGAUGAUUUAACCAGCCAUGAAAUAUGGACUGAGAUUGGGCAGAACAAGGAAGGAAGGAAGGAAGGAAGGAAGGAAGGAAGGAAGGAAGGAAGGAAGGAAGGAAG